AACGAGCGCAACCCUUGUCAUUAGUUGCUACAUUUAGUUGGGCACUCUAAUGAGACUGCCGGUGACAAACCGGAGGAAGGUGGGGAUGACGUCAAGUCCUCAUGGCCCUUAUAGGUGGGGCUACACACGUCAUACAAUGGCUGGUACAAAGGGUUGCCAACCCGCGAGGGGGAGCUAAUCCCAUAAAACCAGUCGUAGUCCGGAUCGCAGUCUGCAACUCGACUGCGUGAAGUCGGAAUCGCUAGUAAUCGUGGAUCAGAAUGUCACGGUGAAUACGUUCCCGGGUCUUGUACACACCG
rnacentral:rRNA from 1 species